UUAAUUGAAACCAAAAAGAGGUAUGUCAUUGUUAAUGACACCAAUGAGUGAACACUCCAAUUAAA
rnacentral:tRNA from 1 species